rnacentral:rRNA from 1 species
AGAGUUUGAUCCUGGCUCAGGAUGAACGCUGGCGGCAUGCCUAAUACAUGCAAGUCGAACGAGAGGAAGGAAAGCUUGCUUUCCUGAAUCUAGUGGCGAACGGGUGAGUAACACGUAGGUAACCUGCCCAUGUGCCCGGGAUAACUUCUGGAAACGGAUGCUAAAACCGGAUAGGUAGCAGACAAGCAUUUGACUGCUAUUAAAGUGGCCUUGGCCAUGAACAUGGAUGGACCUGCGGUGCAUUAGCUGGUUGGUGAGGUAACGGCCCACCAAGGCGACGAUGCAUAGCCGGCCUGAGAGGGCGGACGGCCACAUUGGGACUGAGACACGGCCCAAACUCCUACGGGAGGCAGCAGUAGGGAAUUUUCGUCAAUGGGGGGAACCCUGAACGAGCAAUGCCGCGUGAGUGAGGAAGGUCUUCGGAUCGUAAAGCUCUGUUGUAAGAGAAAAACGGCACUCAUAGGGAAUGAUGAGUGAGUGAUGGUAUCUUACCAGAAAGUCACGGCUAACUACGUGCCAGCAGCCGCGGUAAUACGUAGGUGGCGAGCGUUAUCCGGAAUGAUUGGGCGUAAAGGGUGCGUAGGUGGCAGAUCAAGUCUGGAGUAAAAGGUAUGGGCUCAACCCGUACUGGCUCUGGAAACUGAUCAGCUAGAGAACAGAAGAGGACGGCGGAACUCCAUGUGUAGCGGUAAAAUGCGUAGAUAUAUGGAAGAACACCGGUGGCGAAGGCGGCCGUCUGGUCUGGAUUCUGACACUGAAGCACGAAAGCGUGGGGAGCAAAUAGGAUUAGAUACCCUAGUAGUCCACGCCGUAAACGAUGAGAACUAGGUGUUGGGGGAAUAACUCAGUGCCGCAGUUAACGCAGUAAGUUCUCCGCCUGGGGAGUAUGCACGCAAGUGUGAAACUCAAAGGAAUUGACGGGGGCCCGCACAAGCGGUGGAGUAUGUGGUUUAAUUCGAAGCAACGCGAAGAACCUUACCAGGCCUUGACAUCCCUUGCAGAGGUAUAGAGAUAUAUCCGAGGCUAUCAAGGAGACAGGUGGUGCAUGGUUGUCGUCAGCUCGUGUCG